rnacentral:lncRNA from 1 species
UAAAUAGCCAAGUCACUUAACAGAACGCGGUCGUUUGGGGCAAUGAAAGGAAAUAAUGUGAUUGGUUGUUAUGGGCCAACAGUGCCAUGCACGUGAAUUCUGGGUAACAAAACAUGAACUAGGGUUUCAUGAACAGCAACCAACUUCAUCUUCUUCCCUAAAUCGAUUCCAACGGAAUUUUUCCAGAAAUUACAAUUGGGUACACCAAUCGACUCAGCAAGCAACAAGAAACAUGAAUCCAACAACAAUUUCAACAAAAUCAAAUCACACAGCAUGAAUCGAG